rnacentral:rRNA from 1 species
AGACGASGAYGKGUAGCCGKCCUGAGAGGGMGACCGGCCACACUGGGACUGAGACACGGCCCAGACUCCUACGGGAGGCAGCAGUGGGGAAUAUUGCACAAUGGGGGAAACCCUGAUGCAGCGACGCAGCGUGCGGGAUGACGGCCUUCGGGUUGUAAACCGCUUUCAGCAGGGAAGAAGCGCAAGUGACGGUACCUGCAGAAGAAGUACCGGCUAACUACGUGCCAGCAGCCGCGGUAAUACGUAGGGUACGAGCGUUGUCCGGAAUUAUUGGGCGUAAAGAGCUCGUAGGUGGUUGGUCACGUCUGCUGUGGAAACGCAACGCUUAACGUUGCGCGUGCAGUGGGUACGGGCUGACUAGAGUGCAGUAGGGGAGUCUGGAAUUCCUGGUGUAGCGGUGAAAUGCGCAGAUAUCAGGAGGAACACCGGUGGCGAAGGCGGGACUCUGGGCUGUAACUGACACUGAGGAGCGAAAGCAUGGGGAGCGAACAGGAUUAGAUACCCUGGUAGUCCAUGCCGUAAACGUUGGGCACUAGGUGUGGGGGGCAUUCCACGUUCUCCGCGCCGUAGCUAACGCAUUAAGUGCCCCGCCUGGGGGAGUACGG